GAUGAACGCUAGCUACAGGCUUAACACAUGCAAGUCGAGGGAAACGAUAGAGAAAGCUUGCUUUUUCUAGGCGUCGACCGGCGCACGGGUGAGUAACGCGUGGGUAACCUGCCUCAUACAGGGGGAUAGCAGCUGGAAACGGCUGGUAAUACCGCAUAAGCGCACAGCAUCACAUGAUGCAGUGUGAAAAACUCCGGUGGUAUGAGAUGGACCCGCGUCUGAUUAGCUGGUUGGUGAGGUUAAACGGGCCCACCAAGGCGACGAUCAGUAGCCGACCUGAGAGGUUGAACGGCCACAUUGGGACUGAGAUACGGCCCAGACUCCUACGGGAGGCAGCAGUGGGGAAUAUUGGGCAAUGGGCGCAAGCCUGACCCAGCAACGCCGCGUGAAGGAAGAAGGCUUUCGGGUUGUAAACUUCUUUUAAGAGGGAAGAGCAGAAGACGGUACCUCUAGAAUAAGCCACGGCUAACUACGUG
rnacentral:rRNA from 1 species